rnacentral:rRNA from 1 species
GAUGAACGCUGGCGGCGUGCCUUACACAUGCAAGUCGAGCGAUCUUCUUCGGAAGAGAGCGGCGGACGGGUGAGUAACGCGUGGGUAACCUGCCCUGUACACACGGAUAACAUACCGAAAGGUAUGCUAAUACGAGUUAAUAUGCUUUUACCGCAUGGUAGAAGUAUCAAAGCUCCGGCGGUACAGGAUGGACCCGCGUCUGAUUAGCUAGUUGGUAAGGUAAUGGCUUACCAAGGCGACGAUCAGUAGCCGACCUGAGAGGGUGAUCGGCCACAUUGGAACUGAGACACGGUCCAAACUCCUACGGGAGGCAGCAGUGGGGAAUAUUGCACAAUGGGCGAAAGCCUGAUGCAGCAACGCCGCGUGAGCGAUGAAGGCCUUCGGGUCGUAAAGCUCUGUCCUCAAGGAAGAUAAUGACGGUACUUGAGGAGGAAGCCCCGGCUAACUACGUGCCAGCCGCCGCGGUAA